rnacentral:RNase_P_RNA from 1 species
GGAGUCGGCCGGGCGAGCGGCCUCGGCGAAAGCCGGGGAGGAAAGUCCGGGCUCCACAGGGCAAGGCGCCAGGUAACGCCUGGGCGGCGCGAGCCGACGGAAAGUGCAACAGAGAGAGACCGCCGAUGGCCGGGCAUUCGCAAGGGUGACCGGCACAGGCAAGGGUGAAACGGUGCGGUAAGAGCGCACCGCGAGUCCGGCAACGGACCGGCACGGCAAACCCCACCGGGAGCAAGACCAAAUAGGGAGACGAUGCCGCGGCCCGCGGUGUCUCCGGGUAGGUCGCUUGAGCGUAUCGGUGACGAUGCGCCUAGAGGAAUGACUGUCCACGACAGGACCCGGCUUAUCGGCCGACUCCGCCA